GCCAAGGUAGCUCAGGUGGUAGAGCAGCACGCGCGCAAGCGCGAAACUCUGCGCGGCGUUCUCCGCUCCGGCGGUAGUGAGAUGCAGGGUUACUUCGACUUUUAAUCGGCUGGUCGUGGGUUCGAAUCCCACCCUUGGCU
rnacentral:tRNA from 1 species